GGGGCAUAGCUCAGUGGUAGAGUGUUUGACUCCAAAUCAAGUUGUUCUUGGUUCAAAUCCAAAUGCUACCU